AAGUCGUAACAAGGUCUCCGUAGGUGAACCUGCGGAGGGAUCAUUAUUGAAUUAUCAAUCUCAGAGGGGGCCAAUCCGCAAGGGUUGAGUCCUUUCUGAACAACCAAACAUACAUGACUAGGAAACAGAUGGAAUGGAAUGGAGUGGGGGGGGAGGAGAUUAGCUAGCUGGUUUGCGUGUUAUGCUGUUAUGUGUCUUUGGAUACUUAUAGCAGAGGCGCAAGCGGCAAGCACAAGCACAAGCACAAAUGAAAAGUUCUUGGCUGAUAAGUAGCAUUGAUUUGGAAUGUAUAAUCAAUACAACUUUCAACAACGGAUCUCUUGGCUCUCA
rnacentral:misc_RNA from 1 species